CCCCCCUCUCCACUGUAGUUCCACCCAGAUGGAUAAGAGGAACCCCCUGAUCCUUCUCGCUUCCUCCCUGAACCCUAGAUCCAUUAGCUCCCUUCUCCUCGCUCCCCUCCUCGAUCUGGACCCCGCACCCGAAACCACCGUAACCACGCCGUCAAUGUUCACGCAGCCGGUGUCGUCCCCGAGCCCCGCGAGGAUGCCCAAGGGACGCAAGCUGUCGUCCUCGGCCUCGCCGUAGCAGGAACCACCGCAGAUCAUCGCUGAGCCAUCCCCUUCGCCCGUCUUCUUCAACUCUAGCCUCUGCGCAUCGCCGUUCGCUUGGCUCCACUCGACCCCUUCCGGCCAUUCCGAGCUCACCUCCGACCCCCCUCCCGAUGGUGGAGCUUAGGAGCUAGACGGCACCACUGAUGACUACUACUACCCCGAGGGUGCCUACUACUACGUGAUGGCCGCUAAUGACCUGGAGUAGUUAGAAGGAUCCCAGGCAGGAGGCCUUGCCUUUUCGAUCAUUGUUGCUUUUGUGCUAGCCCUCUUAAGGCAGACUUGUUUAAUUUAUAUUUGUACUCAGA